UUGCAGGCUACAUUCACUGACAUUCUGAAACAACUUGCUGGGCGAUUUAAAAUGGAUCUCACCCUGAGAAAGUCUUCGAUAAAGCUCAUGAUCCAGGCUGAACUGACCAAACUAGCUGAUGAGGCAGAUGAUGAAGAAGAUGAAGGCGAAGCUGAGAAAGAUGAGACUCAACCUGGUCAAGGUGUGGAGGCCUGACUGCUGGGGUGGAAUGGCCUGACUGCUGAGGUGGAACAUGCCUAGAGAAAAAGCUAUUCAUUAGCUUCACAAAUCCUUUUUCUUUUUUUCCUUUUUUUUUUUUUUUUCCAGAAUUUUAUUCUAUUGUGCAACCUUGUCAUGUUUUUUCCGACUCUUAAUACAGCCGGCUGUAAUUUAUUGUUCCUAGUUUGUUACUAGAAAUUAGUAGAGUACUUAGGGCUGCUUAACUUAUGCUACAAUAGCCAGUUAUUUUGUACACAAAACAAAAGUUUGUAGGAAUUCGCCUGUGGUUAAUUUGAACUUUUUGUUGACAAUGAGAAAAAUAUUCUGGUUGACUGUGAGA